rnacentral:rRNA from 1 species
AUUGAACGCUGGCGGCAGGCCUAACACAUGCAAGUCGAGCGGAGCGGCGGUCGGGUGAGUAAUGCCUAGGAAUCUGCCUGGUAGUGGUGGAUAACGUCCGGCAACGGGCGCUAAUACCGACUACUUUCAGAUGAGCUGAGGUCGGAUUAGCUAGUUGGUGGGGUAAAGGCCUACCACGGCUAUGAUCCGUAACUGGUCUGAGAGGAUGAUCAGUCACACUGGAACUGAGACACGGUCAAGACUCCUACGGGAGGCAGAAGUGGGGAAUAUUGGACAAUGGGCGAAAGCCUGAUCCAGCCAUGCCGCGUGUGUGAAGAAGGUCUUCGGAUUGUAAAGCACUUUAAGUUGGGAGGCGUUACCAACAGAAUAAGCACCGGCUAACUUCGUGCCAGCAGCCGCGGUAAUAC